GAUGAACGCUGGCGGCGUGCCUAAUACAUGCAAGUCGAGCGAACAGAUGAGGAGCUUGCUCCUCUGACGUUAGCGGCGGACGGGUGAGUAACACGUGGAUAACCUACCUAUAAGACUGGGAUAACUUCGGGAAACCGGAGCUAAUACCGGAUAAUAUAUUGAACCGCAUGUUUCAUUGGUAAAAACCGUUUUUGCUUUCCCUAAUGAUUGGUUCCGCGCCGCAUUAGCUAGUUGGUAAGGUAACGGCUUACCAAGGCAACGAUGCGUAGCCGACCUGAGAGGGUGAUCGGCCACACUGGAACUGAGACACGGUCCAGACUCCUACGGGAGGCAGCAGUAGGGAAUCUUCCGCAAUGGGCGAAAGCCUGACGGAGCAACGCCGCGUGAGUGAUGAAGGUCUUCGGAUCGUAAAACUCUGUUAUUAGGGAAGAACAAAUGUGUAAGUAACUAUGCAUGUCUUGACGGUACCUAAUCAGAAAGCCACGGCUAACUACGUG
rnacentral:rRNA from 1 species